rnacentral:rRNA from 1 species
AAUCAGCGCUGGCGGCGUGCCUCAGACAUGCAAGUCGAACGAGAAAGUUUCCUUCGGGGAACGAGUAAAGUGGCGUCCGGGUGAGUAACACGUGGGUAAUUUACCUUUGGGUGGGGAAUAGCAGUCGGAAACGGCUAAUAAUACCGCAUAAUGCAGCGGCUCGACAUCGAGACAGUUGUUAAAGCGGGGGACCUGAAAAGACCUCGCGCCUGAAGAGAAGCCUGCGCCAGAUUAGCAGUUGGCAGGGUAAUGGCCUACCAAGGCUUUGAUCUGUAGCCGGCCUGAGAGGGCGGUCGGCCACACUGACACUGACACACGGGUCAGACUCCUACGGGAGGCAGCAGUCGGGAAUUUUGGGCAAUGGGCGCAAGCCUGACCCAGCAACGCCGCGUGAAGGAUGAAAUCCCUCGGGAUGUAAACUUCGCAAAUAUGGGAAGAACACAAUGACGGUACCNUAUGUAAGCCCCGGCUAACUCCGUGCCAGCAGCCGCUGUAAG